GACAGAGGGUGCAAACGUUGUUCGGAAUUACUGGGCGUAAAGCGCGUGUAGGCAGCUCGGAAAGUCGGGUGUGAAAGCCCUGGGCUUAACCUAGGAAGUGCACUCGAAACUUCCGAGCUUGAGUUCUGGAGAGGAAGGCGGAAUUCUCGGUGUAGAGGUGAAAUUCGUAGAUAUCGAGAGGAACACCGGUGGCGAAGGCGGCCUUCUGGACAGUGACGUGACGCUGAGACGGCGAAAGCGUGGGGAGCAAACAGGG
rnacentral:rRNA from 1 species